UUUAUUGCACCAGGAGGUUGAAUCUUCUGAUGUAAUUGGAGGAUCCUGAUUGGCCACAUUUACAUGUCCAGAUGAGUACAGCGCUCCUGGAAGACCUGUCAUUUUCUUCUUCUGAAUUCUGCCAAAACCGAAGUUGUGGUUUUUGGCUAUGAACACCUCAGAAGGCCGCGAUCGAACCAGAUAGCUACUCCAGCUCCAACUACUGUGAAGAACUUUGGAGAUAUUUUCAUCAGGUGCCACGCUGACAUCAUCAGUCACCCUGACAAUGACUCUGACUCUGUGAUAAAGCACCAAGUCUCAAAGAACAAACAUACAGCAUCUGAUAUAUACUUACAGUGAAAGACUUGCUUUCAAUGGCAGAUGAUAUUCUUUGAGUUCCCAUGACUGAAAUGCAUUUAACUUGUGAAACGAAGUGUGAGAAAAGCAGCUGUUACUUUAUUUCCUUCCUGUGACAAUG
ensembl:lncRNA